rnacentral:sRNA from 1 species
GCUGGGCACAGUGGCUCAUGUCUGUAAUCCCAGCACUUUAGGAGGCCAAGGCAGGUGGAUCGCUUGAGCUCAGGAGUUUAAGACCAACCUGGGAAACAUGGUGAAAUGCUGUCUCUACAAAAUAUACAAAACUUAGCUGGGUGUGGUGGUGCGUGCAUGUAGUCCCAGCUACUUGGGGGCUGAGGCAGGAAGAUCACUUGAGCCCAGAAGGUUGAGGCUGCAGUGAGCCAUGUUCGUGCCACUGCACUCCAGCCUGAGCAACAAAGUGAGACCCUGUCUCCU